UUGGGACGUUAGACACAGGGAUGCCUAGUAACGGCGAGUGAAGCGGCAACAGCUCAAAUUUGAAAUCUGGCUCUUUUAGAGUCCGAGUUGUAAUUUGCAGAGGGCGCUUUGGCUUUGGCAGCGGUCCAAGUUCCUUGGAACAGGACGUCACAGAGGGUGAGAAUCCCGUACGUGGUCGCUGGCUAUUGCCGUGUAAAGCCCCUUCGACGAGUCGAGUUGUUUGGGAAUGCAGCUCUAAAUGGGAGGUACAUUUCUUCUAAAGCUAAAUAUUGGCCAGAGACCGAUAGCGCACAAGUAGAGUGAUCGAAAGAUGAAAAGCACUUUGGAAAGAGAGUCAAACAGCACGUGAAAUUGUUGAAAGGGAAGCGCUUGCAGCCAGACUUGCUUACAGUUGCUCAUCCGGGCUUUUGCCCGGUGCACUCUUCUGUAGGCAGGCCAGCAUCAGUUCGGGCGGUAGGAUAAAGGUCUCUGUCACGUACCUCCUCUCGGGGAGGCCUUAUAGGGGAGACGACAUACUACCAGCCUGGACUGAGGUCCGCGCAUCUGCUAGGAUGCUGGCGUAAUGGCUGUAAGCGGCCCGUCUUGAAACACGGACCAAGGAGUCUAACAUCUAUGCGAGUGUUUGGGUGUCAAGCCCGAGCGCGUAAUGAAAGUGAACGGAGGUGGGAACCCGCAAGGGUGCACCAUCGACCGAUCCUGAUGUCUUCGGAAAGAUUUGAGAAGAGCAUGGCUGUUGGGACCCGAAAGAUGGUGAACUAUGCUUGAAUAGGGUGAAGCCAGAGGAAACUCUGGUGGAGGCUCGCAGCGGUUCUGACGUGCAAAUCGAUCGUCAAAUUUGGGCAUAGGGGCGAAAGACUAAUCGAACUAUCUAGUAGCUGGUUCCUGCGAAGUUCUCCUUUCAGGAAAGAAGUUAUAAAUUUCCUAUAGAUACUUGCGCCCUAUGCCAAUUUGACAAUUGAAUCGUGAGUACGCCUGAGACUCUCACAGUGCUUCUCUGCUCACCUCUAUAUGAUAUUAUUUACGCCUAUCGGCCCGACGUCCAUUCUUACCUAAUACACUACGCGUAUAUGGGCUGCGACGUCGUACCGUCUUGGUUACUUCUCGUUUACCUUUCUACACUG
rnacentral:rRNA from 1 species